GACGAACGCUGGCGGCGUGCCUAAUACAUGCAAGUCGAACGCUUCUUUCCUCCCGAGUGCUUGCACUCAAUUGGAGAGAGGAGUGGCGGACGGGUGAGUAACACGUGGGUAACCUACCCAUCAGAGGGGGAUAACACUUGGAAACAGGUGCUAAUACCGCAUAACAGUUUAUGCCGCAUGGCAUAAGAGUGAAAGGCGCUUUCGGGUGUCGCUGAUGGAUGGACCCGCGGUGCAUUAGCUAGUUGGUGAGGUAACGGCUCACCAAGGCCACGAUGCAUAGCCGACCUGAGAGGGUGAUCGGCCACACUGGGACUGAGACACGGCCCAGACUCCUACGGGAGGCAGCAGUAGGGAAUCUUCGGCAAAGGACGAAAGUCUGACCGAGCAACGCCGCGUGAGUGAAGAAGGUUUUCGGAUCGUAAAACUCUGUUGUUAGAGAAGAACAAGGACGUUAGUAACUGAACGUCCCCUGACGGUAUCUAACCAGAAAGCCACGGCUAACUACGUG
rnacentral:rRNA from 1 species